UAGUGAGACGGCCGCUGAUUGGUUAAUUGUUGGUAAAAUUCCAACGCGACCCUCAAGGCUGGCUUCACUUCUUACCGACAUUUUGAAAUUUAAAUCCAUCUGAUGCCUGUUGUCCCCCUGGGAAUGCUGCUGGGACGGAGGUGGGCGUGGGGAUUUCUCAGGUGACAAACACAAAGUACCAGGAGCUGUAAGGGGGCACAACACUCAAGUGUAUGAGGGUCUGCAUGAAGGACAUGGCUGCAACACUGCUGGCUGUGAUGCUCAUGAUCCCUUACAUAUGCGAGGGAGCACUGCUGAGAAAAUCCACAGCGAUGGACUUCCUACAGAAAGUAAGAGAGAAGCGAGCAUCAGAGUGUUUUCCUGGAGGCUGCAGCACAGAGGUCAGCGAGGCUGGAGAACUGAUAGAGGCGGAUGUAGGAUACGAGGAGAGAGCCAGCCUGCUGUAUAAUGGAGGUGCUGCUCAGAAAGAAAAAAACCAUCAGAGCCCUGGAGGAGGACCUGUGGUGGAUGAAGGAUCUGGGAUGUAGCAAGAGGGAGAGACGACAACGUCGUUGUUGGGUCAAGGCAACUUGGAAUACAUUAUAAAUAUAAAAUAUAAAGUAUAAUCACCAAGAUGAACUGCAACAUUUGAACAAAAGAUUUUUUCAAUGAAGAUGAUUUGUUUCAAGGCUUAAUUUGCAUGCAUAAUUUCCUUUCUUUUAAGUUAAAUAUAAUACAGUUCAUAUAAGAGCAGUGAUAAAGGAUGUUUUUUAUCUGUUACCUCCAGUUGUUAUUGUUUAGCACUUGGUACUGUUAAUUGUUACAACUCAGUAACUGUGACUUGUUAGUGAGUCUGUUAGAAAAUAGAACAGUUUCAAUAUAUAUGUAAUCAGAAAUUAAGGUUUAUUUUCUAAUAGUUAUAAUAGUAAAAGUACAUCAAUAUUAGAUUCAUUGUGUAGUAUAGCUUGAAUUUAAAUACAUAGUAUAUAUAUAUUAUGUACAUGUUACAUGCAAAGGGAGCUUUAAGUGAACAUUUUAAUAAAUGUAUAUUAUAUGCA